AUUGAACGCUGGCGGCAUGCCUUACACAUGCAAGUCGAACGGUAACAGAUCUUCGGAUGCUGACGAGUGGCGAACGGGUGAGUAAUACAUCGGAACGUGCCUAGUAGUGGGGGAUAACUACUCGAAAGAGUGGCUAAUACCGCAUGAGAUCUACGGAUGAAAGCAGGGGAUUGCAAGACCUUGUGCUACUAGAGCGGCCGAUGGCAGAUUAGGUAGUUGGUGGGAUAAAGCUUACCAAGCCGACGAUCUGUAGCUGGUCUGAGAGGACGAUCAGCCACACUGGGACUGAGACACGGCCCAGACUCCUACGGGAGGCAGCAGUGGGGAAUUUUGGACAAUGGGCGCAAGCCUGAUCCAGCAAUGCCGCGUGCAGGAAGAAGGCCUUCGGGUUGUAAACUGCUUUUGUACGGAACGAAACGGUCCUGGUUAAUACCUGGGGCUAAUGACGGUACCGUAAGAAUAAGCACCGGCUAACUACGUGCCAGCAGCCGCCGUAACAC
rnacentral:rRNA from 1 species